rnacentral:rRNA from 1 species
GACGAACGCUGGCGGCGUGCCUAAUACAUGCAAGUCGAACGCAGUUGCGAACGGGGGAGUAACGCGUAGGUAACUGCCUCAUAGCGGGGGAUAACUAUUGGAAACGAGAGGUAAUACCGCAUACUGGGAGAUGGACCGGCGUUGUAUUAGCUAGGGGGUGAGGUAAAGGCUCACCAAGGCGACGAUCCAUAGCCGACCUGAGAGGGUGACCGGCCACACUGGGACUGAGACACGGCCCAGACUCCUACGGGAGGCAGCAGUGGGGAAUAUUGGACAAUGGGCGAAAGCCUGAUCCAGCCAUGCCGCGUGUGUGAAGAAGGUCUUCGGAUUGUAAAGCACUUUCAGCUGGGAGGCGUUACCCACAGAAGAAGCACCGGCUAACUUCGUGCCAGCAGCCGCGGUAAUAC